GUCACCAGUGACCCCACAGUCACAUGCAGCAUCGAUCGACUCUCAAACAUAGAGGUAUGGUAGAGGAUCCAUCCAGCUCGCGGUAUCUCCAACUCGAUUGGAGGAUAGAGAGCUCAUCUAUAUUCAGAGUUAUUCAUAAGUACUAUAUCGUUAUUGAAUAUAUUUAAAAUUUAGCCAUUGUAGAGUCUAAUAUUUAUUGAUCAAAAUUAAUUUUGCAGCACAUUUAAAGAGAGCUCCAUGCCUUAUGUGGUUAUCGAGAUCAUCCGAUGAUGGGUGUCGGGGUCGGUGGAUACGUUCUCUAGUUGGCCGUUGGAGGGCACAUGAUACAGCCUGGGAGAUGUUUUGGGCAAGUCAAAGGUGUUUAAUUUAAUAAUUCGCAU
rnacentral:lncRNA from 1 species